GGGAAAUUUAGCUUGGAUAUAUUCCAGCUUCUUCAGUCUUCAAAUGAAAAUCUUCCGGAGGAAUUGAGUUCAACAUCUCUUGAGCACUGUGUCCAAAAAAUUAAGCAUAUUGGAAAGGAAGAAAUAUCUUUCGUUAUUAAAGAUGCCAUAAGGAAUCAAGUAGAUGGCAUUGCUCCCAGCUCAGAUGUUUUGGUGAAACUUGCGG
rnacentral:misc_RNA from 1 species